rnacentral:rRNA from 1 species
AUGGGAGCUCCGCACACAGCGUCCCCGGCGCCGGUGCCAUGUGGGUUCGCUCCGUGCACCUUUGCUUCCGCCAUGGCUCGCUGGCUUUGCUUGCUUGGUGAACACAUUUCGUCCAGCCACCGCUCGUAUUUCAGGCAUUCACAAGACCAUCAAGACCGUCAAAACGAAGGUUCAUGUAUCUAUGAAUGCUUGUCAAUUUUAUUCAAUUUUGGAGAUGAAUGGGUAUGUUUAAGAAUUCUUAAAUCAAAGUCUGAAACAUACCAAAAGUGGGCAAAUCAUAUGUUUUUUAGGCUUAGAUUUUUGCUAGGUUAUUACGUAUUUCAAGUGUAUUUGUAUUAG